rnacentral:rRNA from 1 species
GAUCAUGGCUCAGGAUGAACGCUGGCGGCGUGCCUAAUACAUGCAAGUCGAACGCGAGCACUUGUGCUUCGAGUGGCGAACGGGUGAGUAAUACAUAAGUAACCUGCCCUAGACAGGGGGAUAACUAUUGGAAACGAUAGCUAAGACCGCAUAGGUACGGACACUGCAUGGUGACCGUAUUAAAAGUGCCUCAAAGCACUGGUAGAGGAUGGACUUAUGGGCGCAUUAGCUGGG